GUGAGGCAGUCAGAGAAUUCCUAUGUCUGGAUGACCCACCCACUGCUUUUGACGAUAUUAGAGAGAGAUGGGCCUUCUGUGAGACACUGGGAGGGACCAACUGUUGCCUUCAAAGAGACUUAAUGGACGACGAGAGAGAGACUGAGUCCCUGAGAAAUGUCCUGCUGCACAAAGAACUCCAAAUUAGCCAGCCUGAGAGAACAAAGAAUGGCAUGUAUCGAACCCAAGAGAAGCUGAACAGAGAGCCCAGAG
rnacentral:lncRNA from 1 species